CCUCGCCCUCGAGUUUUCCGCCAGUUUGGCUCGCCGCCGCAGCACCUUCGUCCGAAUCCAUCCACUCCCGCACUCAUAUGAGAUUUUUUGCGAAAUCAUGCGGAGUGGAUCUGGGAUAGUAGUGGUUUUAAGGGAGAAUACAAGUUCAUUUUCUGUUAGUAUCACAGGCGGCGAUAGUUGAUGGAAUAAAAAGACGGCAGAUUCUCAUCCACAUAGACCAACACCAAAGUGAACUACAUCUUCUUCUUGGGCAUAUACUACAUCUUCUUCUGGGGCAUAUAGGGAUUUAAGAUAUGGAAUGAUCUCAAUACAAAUCUUACUAGUUCUACCGAGG